GGGGAAUAUUGCACAAUGGGGGAAACCCUGAUGCAGCGACGCCGCGUGGAGGAAGAAGGUCUUCGGAUUGUAAACUCCUGUUGUUGAGGAAGAUAAUGACGGUACCCAACAAGGAAGUGACGGCUAACUACGUGCCAGCAGCCGCGGUAAAACGUAGGUCACAAGCGUUGUCCGGAAUUACUGGGUGUAAAGGGAGCGCAGGCGGGAAGACAAGUUGGAAGUGAAAUCUAUGGGCUCAACCCAUAAACUGCUUUCAAAACUGUUUUUCUUGAGUAGUGCAGAGGUAGGCGGAAUUCCCGGUGUAGCGGUGGAAUGCGUAGAUAUCGGGAGGAACACCAGUGGCGAAGGCGGCCUACUGGGCACCAACUGACGCUGAGGCUCGAAAGUGUGGGUAGCAAACAGGAUUAGAUACCCUGGUAGUCCACACCGUAAACGAUGAUUACUAGGUGUUGGAGGAUUGACCCCUUCAGUGCCGCAGUUAACACAAUAAGUAAUCCACCUGGGGAGUACGACCGCAAGGUUGAAACUCAAAGGAAUUGACGGGGGCCCGCACAAGCAGUGGAGUAUGUGGUUUAAUUCGACGCAACGCGAAGAACCUUACCAAGUCUUGACAUCCCUUGACAGACAUAGAAAUAUGUUUUCUCUUCGGAGCAAGGAGACAGGUGGUGCAUGGUUGUCGUCAGCUCGUGUCGUGAGAUGUUGGGUUAAGUCCCGCAACGAGCGCAACCCUUAUGGUCAGUUACUACGCAAGAGGACUCUGGCCAGACUGCCGUUGACAAAACGGAGGAAGGUGGGGAUGACGUCAAAUCAUCAUGCCCUUUAUGACUUGGGCUACACACGUACUACAAUGGCGUUAAACAAAGAGAAGCAAGACCGCGAGGUGGAGCAAAACUCAGAAACAACGUCCCAGUUCGGACUGCAGGCUGCAACUCGCCUGCACGAAGUCGGAAUUGCUAGUAAUCGUGGAUCAGCAUGCCACGGUGAAUACGUUCCCG
rnacentral:rRNA from 1 species